GGUUUAAGCCCGGAGGCUAGGGAAAGAGGGAAACGGGGCGGGCGUGUGUAUGUAACCCCCUUUGGAAAGGGAAAAAAAGAAAGAUAGGCGGGGCAGGGCGGGCAGGCCAGGACUCCGGUUGGGAACCGCGCAGCCGAAGACCGGCCGGGGCGGUGGCGGCGGAGCCCCGACUCCGCAAUCGUGCGUGCCCGGUGACCUCAGCUCCCUCCCGGAGGCAUUCGCCACCCUCUGGAUCCGGACUGCAGCCGCGUGCCGAGCCCCUCAGGCUCUUUUGCCCGUUCUCUGCCCACCCCACCCCCCGUUGCUGACCCCAAGUUCAACCUGGGAAGACGGGAGAAUACAGACCCCCUCCCCCCCAGGGGCUUCAGGCUAGAAAAAGGAAAAAGCCCUAGUUUCUGCCUCGUCACUAGAAACCCGGUCAUCUGAGUCAGCCCAGCCGAGUGACGUUAGGCCGACCCGGGCUCCUGGCUAGCAGAGCGGAGGCGCUGCCACGAAACUCGUACCUGCGGCUAACAGCAGGCUUCUUCAAAGCUCAAGGCUGAGGGUGCACAACGACUGCCAGUUUUAGUCUUGAUCAGCUCUGAAGUUCCCGGGUUCACGGCUGGCCUGAGGGAUUCCCGAGAACACAGCGCCUCCUGUCGUAGAGACGAAACGCUGGAUUUUCUCGCAGGUGCCCAAGGCGAGCACCCUAGGCGAGACUGGACUGAAUCCCACGCGCGUUCUGCAGCAGAAAUUUUGGUUCUUAGAAUUGCCCGAGGCCACGAAGGAAAGAUGGCAGUGAAAGCAAGGAUUUGGGGAGGCUGUCCUUUUGAAAGGAAAUGCCUCUGCCUGCUCUUCUGGGCUGUUGUCACUUGGGACACCACGGGCUGCACCAGUGGCUGCGCACCUCCGUCUGUCUGUUGUCCUGGCUGUCUCCUAGUCCGCUGCUGUCCCCAGUGGGGGCCACAACCUCUGGUCUCAGACACCUUCUCUUCCAGCGGCUAUGCCGCAACUGGACUUGGUCACUACUGUCCAGAAGAGGGGUUUUGAAUUCAGGUCCAGCCUUCCUCACCUUGGAGACUCAGGAUUCCAAUGGCUGUGGUAUAGAUCUGUUUUCUUUCAAAUACUUUGGACGCUGCAAUCUGUGCAUGGAUCCUACUCACUCCACUGGCCUCUACCUGGCAGAAGCACCUUCAGUUGUGAAUGGCUAGUCCUGUCUGACCGC